UACGUAGGGUGCGAGCGUUGUCCGGAAUUAUUGGGCGUAAAGGGCUCGUAGGCGGUUUGUCGCGUCGGGAGUGAAAUCCACUGGCUUAACUGGUGGCUUGCUUUCGAUACGGGCAGACUGGAGGUAUGCAGGGGAGAACGGAAUUCCUGGUGUAGCGGUGAAAUGCGCAGGAUAUCAGGAGGAACACCGGUGGCGAAGGCGGUCUCUGGGCAUUACCUGACGCUGAGGUGCGAAAGCGUGGGGAGCAAACAGG
rnacentral:rRNA from 1 species